UGCUCUCUGCUCAACAGGUGACAUCUUGAUGCCCACGCGGAAUAAUUUUUCACUGGGGUUUUUUUUCGAAAUGCGGUGUGCAAGCCCUCCUUUUGCAGAGGGACGCCUGAUGCGUUUCCCGAGAACCCCACCUAAUGUCCCUCGUAGUGAGGCUACAGAUGCACGGUUGACGUGGAGAGCUC
rnacentral:other from 1 species